rnacentral:lncRNA from 1 species
AGAUCCUUGAGGACAUUGGCGCAAACACCGAGUUUGAGAGUGUCUUUUGGGCAGCUUCCGGUGGAGGAGUGGCUUGGAGUAGGCUUUGGCUUAGGCUUUGGUUUAGGGACUGGACUGCAGCCACCACCACACGCGGUGGUCAAGGUGAAGAAGAGGAUGUUGAAUGUGAGGAAAAGGACAAGGGGGGCUGAGAUUUUUGAAGCCAUCUCUCGAAAUAGAAUAUAUAUUUCUAUUUUAAGUAAGAAUGUUUAAGAAAGAAAUGUUGCUAAAAGAGAGUGGUGAAGAUAAAUGAAGAGAUAGUGUAUGUAUAUAUAGUAGGUUUUUAAGUUGUUUGACAGUUUAUUAAAGCUGUCAUUUGCAAUUAUAUUUUGAGGAAUUAUUAAACGAAUUUAACUUUCAGUAACAAUAGUCAGAGGAUCUUUGUAUUAUUGAGUGGUUAAGAUACAUUUCAUUUUAACUACAAUAUUGUAAAAAUACUGUACAAUCAUGGAGUUAUGAAAAUAUAAUUAAAAGCACCCUAUUUUGCUGUCAUAGUUCCUUUUUAUUAAUUGUUUAGUGUAUAAAUUAAAACGUAAUCAUAUAAUCUUUGUUAGCUAAUGUAAAAGCACCAUAUGUUUACAUGUUUAUUUUUUGGCUAUUGUAAAAGAUUUAAAUAUUUUAAAAUAACGCAUUUACUCCCAAACAUAUACUAUAAUUUGGGUCAUUAUAUUCAGUUUCACAAAAAUUUGAAAAUAACGCCUUUACUCCCAAACAUAUACUAUAAUUCAAUAUUUCUUUUCAAAUUAAUCAUGUAAUUAUUUUUAAAAUUAAUUAUUGAGACCGAUGUGGUUUUUAGUUUAGCGUUAAAUAUAGAAGAUUGAUUGUGCACAUUAAAAACAAAUAGUUAUACACUUCAAAGUUUUCAGUAUAUUCAAGAGUGUGUAUAUAUAGUUUAGUAUCAAAUGAAUUUGUAAUAUUUUUAAUCACAAUUAAACUAUAUAACAAAACUAGAAUCAAUGCACAUGUACGGGUUCAAUAAUUUACUCAUCAGUCCCAUGUGUAGUGUUGCCCACGCAUAUAAGUUUUGGCUGGCGAUGGUGUUAUUAGCAUUAUGGAAUUUUAUGUCCACUAAAGUCUGGCUUGACGAACUCAAUUUACAUAAAUAUGCACUUCCUUUUCGGCAAGGUGAAAACUAAGUUUACUUUAGAAAUGAAAAUAAAAUAAAAUAAAAUUGGUCUAUAUAUAUAUAUAUAUGAUUGUUUGAGAGAAGUCUUUGAAUCAGAUAAUGCAAAACUUUUACUUGCUUUAAUUUAUUCUAUGUGAUCAGUAUGCUCCAAAUUUGUUUUCCAAUUUCUCUAUUUCUCUAUUACUCGAUAAUUUAAAUUUUAAGGGUGAUUAUUUACCUCAAACCUCUAGAUCUACAUUUUCUGAGUUUCUAAUGUAAAAUUGCACCCUUUACAUUAAAACAAUAGUCAAAGAUUUAAAAAUAAAUCAAUUAAAGUGUAAAUGGUAAAAUGUCAUAAAACAAUUAAAUAUAACCCUCUUACAAAAGUUCAUCUCUUCGUAUUCAAGUAAAUAUUUUUUUCCCUUUCCAUCUUUCGUUCUACUUUAUCUCUCCAUUUAAUCUAAAACUAAUUUCGAAAUGUCACUUAUAAAAUAAUUUAAAUUUCUUUAAGGAAAAACACAAUGCAUACAUGUAACUCGGUAAUAAAUUGAUUGAUUAUAUCUUGUUUACCAUUGUUGAUGACUUCAUAUAUUGUUUACUAUUCUGUCUUACCGUUUUAAUUUUGUUUUUGGUGAUUUCAUAUUAGUUACAUAUGCAUAUCAAUCUACUUAUUUUUAUUUGAUUUUGAGUUGAAAAUUCAUGAUUCAGUAUUAGAGUCUAAUAAGCUAAAUAGAUAAAAUCCUAAAAAGACGAAUGAGCCAAAGACCAUCAUCCCGAAAGGAUGUGUUUGAAAUCACACGUAGAUAUGAGUAAUUGACCAACAAUGGCAUUUUUUUGUCUAUCAAAUCAUUAUCAUCUAUUUCUACAAUUUCUUUCCUGGAUUUUAAGAUAUAUCAUAUUUUUUAUUUUUAUUUCGUAAACAAAUUCAUAUAUUUUCUUACUAUCAUUUUAUUAUUGUUAAUUCUCAUAAAAUAUAAAUUCCAGGGACCAUAAUUACAGUAAUUUAAUUAAUCUUUAUAUGGAGAGAUUAGGUCAGUAUAUAUAGAAUCUUGCUCUUUGGAUCAUAUGACUCUUUGAGAAUAAAAGCGGAAACAAGAGUCUGAUUCUAACUUUAAACCAUUGAUUCAAAAUGAACACAGUAAAAGAAGUAGAAGCAACACUUAUUCGAUUAACAACUGAAAAAGUAGAAUUUAAAGAAUCUUAAUCAAAGAAAAACAUCGAAAAAAUAGAUGAAACAUUAUAACAAAAUCGGAGAGUAGAUAGAUCAAGCACAUUUAAAUCCAGAAGGGACCUUCUUGCCACACACAUUGAGAAGAAGGCUGAGAGAGACAGGAACAUUAAGGUUAAUGCCUAAAACAUUAGCCUUUAUGGCAGUGCAGAGGCAAGCUGCGGCCUCAAGAUCAACCAAACCCUUAAUGAGGGAACAACAUGGCUUUACUGGUGGCGUUCCCAACUCGAUUUUGAGAAGAUCCUUGAGGACAUUGGCGCAAACACCGAGUUUGAGAGUGUCUUUUGGGCAGCUUCCGGUAGAGGAAUGGCUAGGAGUAGGCUUUGGCUUAGGCUUAGGUUUAGGGACUGGACUGCAGCCACCACCACACGCGGUGGUCAAGGUGAAGAAGAGGAUGUUGAAUGUGAGGAAAAUGACUAGGGAGGCUGAGAUUUUUGAAGCCAUCUCUCGAAAUAUAUAUUUCUAUUUUAGGUAAGAAGUGUUG